rnacentral:ncRNA from 1 species
GUUCUAAAGGCAAAAAGACUUGGUCCUAAUCUUAUUAUCAGCUUUUCCUAAACUUACACAUGCAAGUCUCAGCACACCAGUGAGGACGCCCUUUCCCCUGAACCAGGAUAAGGAGCCGGUAUCAGGCACAAAACUUGCCCAUUACACCUAGUCCCACCACGCCCCCAAGGGCUCUCAGCAGUGAUAAAUAUUGUCAAUAAGCGACAGCUUGAGUCAGUUACAGGAAAAAGAGCUGGCCAACUCGGUGCCAGCCGCCGCGGCUAGACCGCACGAGCUCAAGUUGAUAAGCAUCGGCGUUAAGCGUGGUUAAAGGCCACUUUAACUAGAAUAAAAUCUACACUUAGCUGUAAUAAGCUUGCUGUUAGAGAAGACCAAAAACGAAAGUUAUUCUAGUCCACUUGAACCCACGAUAGUCAGGAAACAAACUGGGAUUAGAUACCCCACUAUGCCUGACCGUAAAACAACUCACACCACCAACGCCAGGGUACUACGAGCCCAGCUUAAAACCCAAAGGACUUGACGGUGUCCCACCCAACUAGAGGAGCCUGUUCUAUAAUCGAUGAUCCCCGAUUUACCCAACCUCAUCUUGCUAAUCAGCCUGUAUACCUCCGUCGUAAGCUUACCAUGUGAAUGCUCACAGUAGGUAUGAUGGUCUUACACCAAUACGUCAGGUCAAGGUGCAGCUUAUGAUGUGGAAAGCAAUGGGCUACAAUUUCUAAAAUAGAACACACGAAACACUACAUGAAACACAGCUAUGAAGGCGGAUUUAGUAGUAAAAAGGAAAUAAUGUGUCCUUUUUAACAAGGCCCUGGGACGUGUACACACCGCCCGUCACCCUCUUCAACAGUUUAUAAUCUGUUUUUAACAAUCACACACGCCUUAGAAGAGGCAAGUCGUAACAUGGUAAGUGUACCGGAAGGUGCGCUUGGAUUAACAAAAUAUAGCUUAACCAAAGCUUCUCGCUUACACCGAGAAGAUGUCUGUUUGAACCAGAUUAUUUUGAGCCUAAAAUUUAGCCUACUAACAACCUAUGCACAACCCAAACUAUAAACCAAAAAUAAAACAUUUUUUUGUCAAGUAGAGGUGAUCAAAAAACUUAUUAGCGCUACAUAUCAAGUACCGCAAGGGAAAAAUGAAAUAGACUUGAAAUAGCCUUAAAGCAAAACAAAGUAGAGAUCACCCCUCGUACCUUUUGCAUCAUGAUUUAGCUAGUUCCUCCCAGGCAAAGUGAAACACCAGUCUGACCCCCCGAAACUAGACGAGCUACUUUUAAACAGCUUUAUGGAGCCAACCCGUCUCUGUUGCAAAAGAGUGGGAUGAUUUUUAAGUAGAGGUGAAAAGCCUAUCGAGCCUAGAGAUAGCUGGUUACUUAGGAAAAGAAUUUUAGUUCGCCCUCAAGUCUUUUUAUUACAAUAACAAACAACCUAGGACUUGACAGCUACUCAAGUAAGGCACAGCUUACUUGAUAAAGGACACAACCUAGAAAAAAGGGUAAAAAUUGAUCAUCCAAACUAAGUGGGCCUAAAAGCAGCCACCUUUUAAAAAGCGUUAAAGCUUCGUAUCCUUAUAUUUAACCUAAUGCCUAAAAACACUUUAAACCCUUUACUAUUACUUAGUAAUUUUAUAUUAUUAUAAAAGUUUUUAUGCUAGAACUAGUAACAAGAAACUGAAUUUCUCCUAAAUAUAAGCAUAAACCAAAACGGACAAACCAUUGGUAAUUAACGCUUGUAAGCCUAAUAUACUAACUUCGCAAGAAAAAUCUAUAAACAUGCACGUUAAUCUUACACAAGUAUAUUUCAGGAAAGAUUAAAAGAAAAGGAAGGAACUCGGCAAAUUUUAACCCCGCCUGUUUACCAAAAACAUCGCCUCUUGAUCAAAUAUAAGAGGUCUAGCCUGCCCAGUGACGUACUUAAACGGCCGCGGUACCCUGACCGUGCAAAGGUAGCAUAAUCAUUUGUUCUUUAAAUAAGGACUUGUAUCAACGGCAUCACGAGGGUUAUACUGUCUCCCCUCUCUAAUCAGUGAAACUGACCUCCCCGUGAAGAGGCGGGGAUAAAAAUACAAGACGAGAAGACCCCAUGGAGCUUCAAACCCAAUAGCAACCUCCUUAAACAAAAAGCCACAAAACUCUGAGGAACUGUAUACUGGUUUUAGGUUGGGGUGACCACGGAGUAAAAUAAAACCUCCCUGACGAAUGGACUUUAUCCUAAUCCAAGAGCCACUGCUCUAAGAAUCAAAAAUUUGACGUAACAUGAUCCAGCACUAAACUGAUCAACGAACCAAGUUACCCUGGGGAUAACAGCGCAAUCCAUUUCAAGAGCCCCUAUCGACAAAUGGGUUUACGACCUCGAUGUUGGAUCAGGGUGUCCCGGUGGUGCAGCCGCUACCAAAGGUUUGUUUGUUCAACAAUU